AUUGAACGCUGGCGGCAGGCCUAACACAUGCAAGUCGAGCGGAUGAAGGGAGCUUGCUCCUGGAUUCAGCGGCGGACGGGUGAGUAAUGCCUAGGAAUCUGCCUGGUAGUGGGGGAUAACGUCCGGAAACGGGCGCUAAUACCGCAUACGUCCUGAGGGAGAAAGUGGGGGAUCUUCGGACCUCACGCUAUCAGAUGAGCCUAGGUCGGAUUAGCUAGUUGGUGGGGUAAAGGCCUACCAAGGCGACGAUCCGUAACUGGUCUGAGAGGAUGAUCAGUCACACUGGAACUGAGACACGGUCCAGACUCCUACGGGAGGCAGCGGUGGGGAAUAUUGGACAAUGGGCGAAAGCCUGAUCCAGCCAUGUCGCGUGUGUGAAGAAGGUCUUCGGAUUGUAAAGCACUUUAAGUUGGGAGGAAGGGCAGUAAGUUAAUACCUUGCUGUUUUGACGUUACCAACAGAAUAAGCACCGGCUAACUUCGUG
rnacentral:rRNA from 1 species